rnacentral:rRNA from 1 species
CCCGUCACAUCAUGAAAGCCGGUUGUACCCGAAGUCCGCAGGCUAACCGCAAGGAAGCAGCGGCCGAAGGUAUGGCUGGUGAUUGGGAUG